rnacentral:piRNA from 1 species
CCUUCCACAUGGGCGUAUACAGGGAAAGG